AGUUCUUUUCUCCGUCGUGUAAUAAGUAGGCCGAUUCCUUAAUGCGUGACCAUGGGGGAGAUCAUUAAAGCUGAGCCUGAUCAAUUUGCAAUGGAAGGAGUUGAUGACACAUUUUGAAAGUCGAAGGCCUACAAAAUUAACCUAAGCGAGUGUUACGUCCUUGUAUAUGUUUAAAUGUGAAGGGCACCACCGUAGGUAUCAAAUGAGAGUGGAUGGUUGGCAUGGUUACCCGCCCCGACUGCAAGUAAAAUCCAUUAUCCUAUAACGGACGGAUAGAAAUAGAUUUCUUAACUUAGGACUGACGGCUCAAGGUCAAAUUCGAGUAACCUCCGAAUGAAGAUUAGGUCAGAUCACGGAAAUAAAAACAACCACGUCAUCAAAGAGAACGAAGGUCUGAUGAAGCAAGGAAACGCUUGCCAAAACAGAUCAUCUUUCAGGAAGAUGGAGAAAACUAUCAAUCGAAUCAGGAAACAUCCCACUCCGUACCCCCCCCCCACUGUGCACCGAUGUGUUGGUUCAGUUAGUUGAGCGACAGUCUCACAACCGGAAGGUCGGAGGUUCAAACCCCGGCCGCGUCAGACCAAUAGACGUUAAAAGAAGGGAGUUGCUGCUACCCUGUUUGGCGUUCAAUG